AGCUUCUCUCUUGUGCGAGACUUUGUGAUUUGGAAGUUUUCCACUGCUGCCUGCUACGAAUCUCACCUCUGCAUCACGACACCAUCUUAUUAAUUCACUUAUACUGAUACCUCUUAAUAAUACAGAGAUAUAUUUUAUCUAGAUAUUAAGACAAGCACAUAGUUACAUUGAGUUAAAAGCAUUCACAAACACAUAUAAUAUUGUUUAAAUAACCAGCUUCCCCCCCCCCCAGGUGUCUUCUUUUUUUAUUGUGCUGUUACAGGAUGCCACGUAGAGGACGACGCUCUGAGGCGGCCAAGGUGAGAUGGAGGAAGCUGGAGAUUGUGCCGGUCGACGCCAAGCCUGGGACACCACCGCUCACAACCAGCGCUUGGAACCCAACUCGGUCUCCGCCAAAGAAGAUGUCCCCACUGCUGGACGGUGGCCUGCCCAACCAGAUGUCGCCUCCCAUGGUGCGUCAGGAGGAGCCCCGUGUGCCACCGACCUCUCCUGGGUCACGCCGUGGGACGGGGCGUCGCCAUCGGGUGGAGACGUGGCCAGCCUCCCGGGUGACCAGACGGAGCUGCAAGUUGGUUCUGCCUACUGCCGAGGCUCUGGAGAAGAAGUUUGCUCUUUUGGUUGGUGAUUCCCAUCUGCGUGCUAUUGUGGAUGGGUAUUCUACCAUGCCAAAGGGCGACUUCUCCUUAGGGGUGCUUGCAUCCCCCGGUGCCUCUGCGGAAGAGUUGAAGCUUGAGGUGCUGGAUGCAGUUCUGCCUCGGCCCCCCGAGGUGAUCUGUCUUCUGGCCCCAAGUAACAACUUAACCGCCAGCAGGACCUUCGUGGAGGCCGGAGCGGCGUUUGACGCUUUGUUGAGUACCGUCUGCAACCUCUCUGCUAAUGUGGUCGUUGUGGACUUUCCACCGCGCCUUUGCGUGGAGGACAGUGUGCAACAGCUGCUGCGGCAGGAGUUUCAACGUGUGGCUGCUCAGAGAAGUGUUCGGUACUUGCCUGUCACUGAACACUUCCCAUUGAGCAGCCUGGCCUUGUGGAGCAGGGAUGGCGUUCACCUGAGCGACCAUCCUGGGAUGGAGGUCCUUGCUCAGUUGCUUGAGGCGGCGGUCUGCUCGCAACUUGAGUUAAGUGCAUCGAAAUCUCCUGCUCCUGUGAUGUUGGCUCCACCCCCCCUUGGGACGGCUUCCCCCCCCGCGGUGAGACGUUGCCUGACCCAGCCGGUUGUGGUUACCGAAGUUGCUGCUCCGCGUCGUUCGGAGCCCUACGCCUGGACUGUGGUUGGUGGUGGUCGGAAGGGAGACCUGCUGGACUCUUCCAUCCCCCUGAAUCCUGUGUGCUUCAGCCCAGCGUUGCUGGAGGACAUGGACCGGAUCGUUCCUGCGUCUGGCCUUGAAACUCCGCUACCUAUAUGUUGUCCGAAGGUGGAAAAGAAGGCGAGUGCGAAGCGUCGUUCCAUUUCCGAUCCCUACAAGCUGAAUCCAGUGGAGCAGCAGAUGGAGGGAGCGUCGAGAGAGAGCAACAACAAAGCUCGUCGCCAGGCACAAAGUCCGGUCCCCCCGAUGGACGUCCAGGGCGAGUCCUCUUCCGUGCCACAGGAGGACCAUUUUUGGGAUGGGAGCUGCAAGGCUUCUGCGUUGGAACCCGGGAUCAGCGGUCCACCUGUCCUGUUGGUAAGUGCUACACAUUCCCAGGCCGACAAGAGGUAUGCUGCAUUUUCCCGUAAUCACCAGUGCACAUGCAUGGCACUCACAUUUUUAGCUUACCACAAUGAGGGGUUGCAGUUUGACACAGUGAUGCUUGAUAGAGUGAUUGAAAAAGGAGACCAACUUUAUGCCGGCGUUAAACAGCAACUGAUCAGUGAUGGAACAUUUCGUGACAAUCACUUGACGUUUGAACAGAUGCCUGACCAUGUACUCACAGAUAGGAACAUCUAUGCAGUACACACAACUGGUUUAAGGGUAGGUCAUGUUUUUGCUCGUAGCAGGAGCACUCAAGGAUCUCGACAAUUGGGUUUGCAUCUUGCCCUGCAACUGAAAUGUCUGUCGGAAAAUGUAACCCAUGCUUUCCUUUUGGUGACUCCAGAGUGCAUUGCAGUUUUCAGGGACAGAAGCGGUCGGUUUGGAGUUUUUGAUUCCCACUCAAGAAAUUCAGCAGGCCUGCCCCACCCCAGUGGAACUGCAGUAAUGAUGACUUUCUGCAACCUGUCUGACUUGGUCAGCCAUCUAUUGAAGCUCUUUCGAAAUCGCGGCCCCAAUGCCACCUAUGAGUUUGUGCCAGUAGGUUUUGACAGGGAAAAUGAAGAUCAUCCUCAGAACUUGACUUUUGACAACAUUUCACCUGUAGCAACACAGGUAAGUCCAACUGCUUUGAAAUCAGAGAGUCCGUCUGAUGAGGAAAUGCCUCCUUGGCUUAGGGAAGUUGCAAACGUAUUAGAGGAGAGACCUCCAACCGUUACAAAUUUGUCAAAAGUGCCAAAAACCGAUAGAAGAAAAAUUAAAAACAGGAUCAAAACACAACAGAGACAGAAUGUAGGAAGUAAAAUGAAACAAAGUUCAUCUGAAAAAGAGAGAUAUCUGACAUCUCCAACAUUUAGGACCAAAAAGCUACAGGCCGUAAAAGAAAAAUACAUUCUUCAUCAAGUAGAGAGGAAGGAUCACUUAAAUAAUAGAUAUAGAACAGAUGCAUCUUUCCGGAAGAGACGAAGAAAUUACAUGAAGGACAGAUUCAAUUUUGGCCGUACCUUCACAGAAAGUCAUAAAGCUAAGAUGGCUGAGUAUAUGAGGAAACGAUUCAGAGAUGAUCCGAUCUUUAGAAGCAGAAAAAAAUCAAACAUCAGGAAUCGAUUCAGAAACGAUCCAGUCUUCAGAAGCAAACACAAAAAAAAAAUGCGUGAAUAUAUGAAGGCGAAGUAUCAUAGUGAGCCUGCUUAUCGAGCAAAACAUAAAGAAAAAUGUGCUGCAAACAGAAGAGGCAGAUUAACAACAGAAGCACGUUCCAAAAAUGUAACACUGCAGCAUGCUUUGCGAAUCAGAAACAAGUAUAAAAGAAACGUAAGCUUCCACCUUGAAACUCCAAGCCCUCUGAUAACUGACGAAAUGAAAGCUGCGAUACGAAACUUUUAUAAGAACAUUAAAAACGGACCCACAUAUGUUUGCACUGUGUGUCACAGAGCUCUUUUCCCCAAUCAAGUAAAGCACUGUAAACGAGAUAAGUACACCAAGAAUAUGCGUGUAGUAGCUGAUUCUCUAACCGGUACAUAUGUUCAUGUGUGUGGAUCUGCAUGCUCAACCCCAUGUUCUGUACCUCAAGAGAGGAAGGGGGAGUGGAUCUGCUACACGUGUGACAGCCAUCUAACCAGAGGAAAGAUGCCAUCGAUUGCUGCUGUUAAUAACCUUCACCUAGCUUCUGUUCCACCAGAGCUUGCGGAAUUGAAUGUACUUGAACGGCAAUUAAUUGCAAAAAUUCUACCUUUUGCAAAAAUUGUUUCUUUGCCCAAGGGACAGCAAAGGGCAAUACAUGGAGCAGUUGUCUGUGUUCCUUCUGACAUGGAAACAGUUGUAAACAGUCUUCCGAGGCCCCGUGAGGAAGCCCAGCUUUUACAGGUGAAGCUAAAGAGAAAAACCAAGUAUAAAGGGUACCAAUACUUUUACACAGUAAACAUGAAAAAUGUCUUAGCUGCACUGACGAAGCUUAAAGAUAGUCAUCCAGAUUACAAAGAGAUAAGUAUAAAUGAAAGUGCAACAUUUGAAGAUUUCCAAGAGGAUCAGCAAGUUGAGGACUUGGAAACAGAAGCAGCGGAGACUGAAAUGGAUAUAGAAGCAGACCAGCAACCUGACCACAUAGGGAUAGAGCAUCAGGCACUUCGACCUGGUCUGAUCUUGGACACCUGCAUGCAGCCUCCUGACAUAGCACAGGAAGUAUUGUCAUAUGGAGAAGGGAUUUUCAGCAUUGCGCCGGCUCAGGGGAACAAGCCCAUCUCCUUCUUCAGUGUUCCAAGACUUGAAGCAAAUGCUUAUCCCGUACAUUUCCCAACUGGAAUAAACACAUUAGAUGAAGCCCGCCGUGUUGCACUUUCACCGAGUAUGUAUUUCAAUGUACGACUUUUCUCAAUAGAUAGUCGGUUUGCCAAAGACCAGAGUUACCUUUUCUUUGCUCAGUUUGUCACGGAAACUCAUAUUGCCAAUAGUAGUAUGUCCAUUCAGAGAAGAAAAGGGAAACCAAGCACCAAAGAUGGGAAAAAUAUUUCCAGCAAAAUGCUGCAGGAUAAAGAGGAGUUGGAAAAACUUAUCCAGAAUAAAGAGGCUACCCGUUUCAUGCAACCCUUAAGAGGAACUCCAGCUUAUUGGGAGAAAGGGUUACGUGAUUUGCACGCCAUGGUGAGGCAACUUGGAAAGCCCACUUUCUUUUGCACGUUCUCUGCUGCUGAAAUGAGAUGGCCAGAAGUCAUUGAGGCCAUCAAAGGUCAACAUGGCGAGCAGGUAGAUUUUUCUGAGCUUGACUGGAAUGCAAAAUGUGACAUUCUUAGAAGCAACCCUGUAACCGUCAUGCGCAUGUUUGAAAAGAGAGUGGAUGCACUGUUUAGAGACCUGAUUCUUUCCCCUGCACAGCCCCUUGGAGCAGUGGACGAUUACUUUUAUCGUGUAGAAUUUCAGGCAAGGGGUUCACCACACAUACAUGCUGUGAUAUGGAUUAAGGAUGCACCUGAAAUGGAAGACCCCUCAUGUUGCGGUGAAGUCAUAAAGUUCAUCGAUCGUCACAUAUCCUGUCAGUUGCCUGAUGAAACCAGAGAUCCAGAGCUUCACAAAAUAGUCACAGAGGUUCAAAUGCACAGCAAAAAGCACUCAAAAUCAUGCAAAAAAGGUAAUGUUGAAUGCAGAUUUGGAUUCCCCAAACUAGCAAUGGACCGCACCAGAAUCACCGUCCCAGUAAUUGACUUUGAUUUGGAAAUUGAUGAUGAAACACCAAAGCAAAGUAAGCCAAAAGGUAGGAGAAAUUCCAAAAAAUCGAGAUCACCAUUUGUCUCAAACCUACAAAGAGAGGCUAAGAAGAAACUGAAAACAGUUAGAGAUUUACUUAAAGAUGAGAAAUCAUCUUUCAGGGAUUUGUCAGAGUUACUCCAGGCUUGUAAUAUGACUAAAAUAGAGUACAAUGGCCAUGUUGAUGCUCUCACUUCUGGAAUGGUGGUAAUGAUGAAACGGGAUCCUAAAGAUAGCUGGGUCAAUGGGUACAACCCCGAUCUCCUUCGUGCAUGGAAUGCUAACAUGGACAUUCAGUAUGUGCUUGAUGAGUACACCUGCAUUGAGUACAUGAUGUCCUACAUAGCCAAGCCAGAGCAUGAAAUGGCGCAGUUCCUCAAGUCUGUUGUUGAUGAUUUAAAGACGGCCAAUGUUAGCCAACGCGAUGAGAUGAAGAAGAUCAUGCAGGCUUAUUCAAAACAGAGAGAGGUUAGUGCUCAAGAAUCCGUUGCGCGCACUUGUAGCCUACCUCUCAAAAAGUCCUCUCGUAGUGUCCUUUUUCUUCAAACAGAUGAAGACGGUAUAAAAAUGAGUCUUCCGAUGAGUAAACUCGUAAACAUGUCCCCAGAUGAAGAGAAUGUGUGGAUGAAAGGAUUGCCGGAAAAAUAUCUCAACAGACCAGACACAUUAGAAUUCGAACACAUGUGCCUGGCAGAAUUUGCAUCAGAAUACCGGGUUCUAUAUGGUAGGCAAAUUGAAGGGCCAAAUGCAAUUGCCCUCCUUAAUGAUGCAGGAUACAUCCAGAAAAGAACUAUCGGCAAACCUGCAGUUAUUAGAUUUACUCGUUUCUCUGAGAAAAAAACACCCGAAAAGUUUUACAGACGGCUUCUGAAGUUGUAUUUUCCUCACAGACGAGAUGAGGACCUAAAAAAUGAGGAAUGCACAACCUACGAAGCCUUUUACAACAACGGUUUUCGUGGUAGAUAUCGGGUUAAACAGUAUGUGGAUUUCAAUUGCAAAAGGUAUGAAGGGCAAGGUAAGAAAAUUGAUAAGAUUAUGGAAGAUCUGAAUAAGCAAGGACCGGUUCGUAAUGCGUGGAACACUUUUGCACCAGAGGUUGAGGUAGACAGUUUAGAAUGCGCUGCUGAGCGACCACCAUUGCAAGAAGAUGAAGAGCAAGACCCUAUUCCAGAUUAUGAAAUUGAUGUCAACACUGUAGACAUGCCAAAAAUUGAAGCUCCUAAACUGAGCCCUGAUUUCAUCAGACAAAUGUACAGGAGUUUAAAUGAGACUCAAGCGUCCAUGUUUUACGCCAUUCGCGAUUGGUGUCUGAAGCGCGUCUGGGGUGAGAAACCAGAACCGUUCUUUUAUUUCUUGACGGGAGGAGCCGGAUGUGGUAAAUCUCAUGUCAUCAAAUGUGUUUAUCAGGAGGCAACCAAGCUCUUGCGCCAGCUUCCGAGAAUUCUCGAUAUUGGUGACAUGUCCAAGCCCACUGUGCUCCUCACAGCUUUUACUGGUACUGCAGCGUACAACAUAUCAGGGAAGACUUUACAUUCCAUCUUGAAGCUACCGAAAAGUUUAAAACCACCAUACAAGGGACUUGGAAAUUCAUUGGAUGAAGUGAGGGCAGUUCUUUCUAAUAUAGAAAUCUUAAUCAUCGAUGAAAUCUCCAUGGUCUCCAAAGACCUACUUGCAUAUGUUCACUGGAGAUUUCAACAAAUCAAGGGGAACAACAGGUUCAUGGGUGGGGUCUCUGUUUUGGCUGUGGGGGAUUUCUUCCAACUUCCUCCUCUUGGACGAUCAAAACCGCUUUGUGUCGCCGAGGAUGGCGUGCUUGAUAUCUGGAAUGAGAAUUUCCAGAUGAUAAGCCUGACAGAAAUCAUGCGGCAGAAAGAUGACCGAGCGUUUGCAGAGCUCCUGAACAGGAUUCGAGUUAAAGGUAAAGCCGAUUCGCUUAGUAAGGAUGACAAGACUCUUUUGAUCCAAGCUGUUACUGACUCAAAAGAGUGUCCAAUGGAUGUUCUGCACAUUUUUGCAACAAACAAACAGGUGGACACCCAUAAUGCAGCAGUUGUGACCUCUUUAGGUGCAGUAACAGUUGACAUCGAGGCAGAGGACUACAAAAGGGUUACAAAGACAGGAAACAUGAUUAAUCUGGGCUGUUGCAUAGCGGGCAACAAACGAGACUUGUCUAACAACAUACAGGCUGGUUUGGGUUUUAGGGUAAUGAUUAUAAGAAACUUGGAUGUAGAGGAUGGUCUUGUUAAUGGAACAUUUGGGACCAUUGCGGAUAUUGUCACCAGUACGAAAGAUGGAAAGAAUAGUGUAAAGUUAAUUGGACUCAAACUGGACAAUCCCCUCGCUGGACACACAAAAAAGAUUCAGGGUAAACCAGACAGCUUUGUUUACAUUGAGAGAUUUGAGGAACAGAGUAGCGUAAAGGGAGUGGUACGACGGCAAUUUCCAAUCAGGUUAGCCUUUGGGUGUACGGCACACAAAGUCCAAGGGAUGACCAUGAAGUCUGCGGUUAUUUCUUUGAAGCGUAUUUUUGAACCGGGAAUGGCAUAUGUGGCACUCAGUCGCACAACUUCCCUGGAAGGACUUAAAAUCAUUGAUUUUGAUGAAAGUAAGAUCUACGCUGACAAAAACAUCAGAGCAGCUAUGGAAUCAAUGAGAUCAGCAUCGUUUUUGCAUAUCAGACCACUCUUGCAUUUUCAGUCUGGUCAUCAAGGUGCAACAUUAACAAUUGUCCACCACAAUGUCGAAGGUCUUGUCUGUCACUCUGAGGACAUGAAACAACAUCAUGAACUUAUGCUGGCAGAUGUCUUAUGCCUAACGGAGACUCAUUUAUUUGGAUCUUCUGUUCCAGCUUCUUGCCAAAUGGAGGGCUAUUCUUUCUUUUCACGGAACAGACAUGUCUCCUACUCAAACAGAGUCGACAUUGCUACCAAAGAGGGUGGGGGAGUAGCGACUUACUGCCGGAGUCUUCUCCAACCGCAGGAACGUAGAUUCUUCAACCAGGUUACAGAUAUUGAAUUCAACGUUGUGAAAGUGGAAACCCCAAUCAGAGCACUGAUUGCGACAGUUUACAGGCCACCAAGUUAUGAUCUUGGAACAUUUUUAAGAAAUCUGCAGAACCUCUUGGAUGGCCUGAAUUCAAUGGAUAUUCGGCCCGUUGUCAUAUUGGGAGACUUCAAUGAGGACCUUAUUCCUCCUGGGAAAAAAGCCAUCAAUGAGUUGUUUAGAACAAAAGGCUUUAUGCAACUCAUCUCUGAUGCAACCACAGAAAAACGUACCCUCCUUGAUCACAUUUACAUCUCCAAUCCAGAAUACUGUAUCCAAUCAGGUGUCUUGCAGGCUUACUACAGCUACCACAAUCCUAUAUACUGUGUGUUAGCUUCAGUAUAAACUGCAUCUACAGUGGCUUCCAAAAAUAGUUAUGUUCCUUGAAAUUUUCCUAAUCAUAAGGGGUAUUUUUCUUGAUCUUUUAUAUUAAAUUCUGAUGAAAUAUAUUUGUGGUUGUAAUGUAACAAUAUGGAACAGUUCAAGGAGUAUGAUUACUUUGUAAGCACUGUAAAUCUUAAUCCUGAAUUCAUGACAGGAUAUUAUUUUUGGAGAACAUGUAAAGAUCUUGCAUCAUUUUAUGUGACUGUGGGUUUUUUUGUAUAUGCAGCAAUCAGAAAGCAGUGUGGGUUGUUUUUCUCUAUCAUUGUUGCAGAGGGUUUGAUAUAUAUUUAUUCAUUGUACACAUUUGUGAAUUAUAGUGUAGCUUGUGGAUUUUGUUGUAGGAAUAAAAAUAUUCUUGUACAGUUUGCAAAUCUUUUCAAUACUUAUUUAGUUCCGUAGAAAGGAGGCUUCAUAACCAGGGUUUGUAUGUGCCCAUGAAACUUUGUUUGAGGUUUGGGAAUACGAAAGUGGCUGAUCUUGAAACACUUAUCGGUUCUCUGUCAGAGUAGUUGCUGGAAAUAUUGGACCAGGAAGCGGUAGAUUAAAAAAUCCGUUACUACACGUAUAUUCUGUUCUAUUUUGAAAUAAAAAUUAUUUCAAAUUGGUCUUCAAUCUGGCACAUAGCAUUUUCCUCAUUUUUCUAAUGCAGUUAGAGUAACUGUUACCCUCCGAAUAAGUUAAUUUUUUGCAAAACUCUUUUUUUAUUCUUCACAAUUUGCGUCAUUCAAUUAAAGCUCUCCUUGUUUCAUCUCUCCCCAAUGAUACUGCACUUUUUACUGCUGCAGCUCCCUAGGGGUUACUUCACUAGAAGGACAAAAGUUGAACUCACUUUUGUCCUGUUGGACUCCCUCCACAUACUGAGAAUUUGUGUUGUUUUGAUGGAAUUAACCUCUUUCCUCCCAGUUUUAGUCUGUUUUUGCAGGUUGUUCCACACAAACAAUCCUUGGAAGCUGCUAAGAACAGACAGGAAACGAGACCUGGAGGUUUGGUGCAUGAGAGUUAGCAAAUGUAUCUAAAUUGUAGCAACCUUAAAAGCAGUUACAUUUUUGUUGUUGUUGAUAAUAGAUGUCUAUUGAUGGAAUGACUUGUUUAUUUUUAGUGCAGGACAACCCUUGCCUAGCUCAUGGACUUGGUCCCACACCCAAUCUGAGGAGAAGAUGGAGUUCCUGUUUCUUUAGAUAGUCUGUGAUGUGUCACACCAGAUUGGAUGCCUAAGAAGAAGUUGGGAAAAAUCAAAAAGCUUUGGAGAAGCGAUACUUUUUUGUUGUUGUUAUUCUUUAUAGUUGUAAAUAGUUUUUGAUGUAUGUAUAUAUUUAAGAUGGUUUCAUUUAUUGUAUAGAGACUGCAAUAUGUUACAUUAGAUUAAUUUAAAAUAUGUUUUCAUGUAUGUAUAUAGUUAUAAAGGUUUCACAUUUAUAACAAGUGGAUCAUCAUGGCAAAGCCAUAAUGUUUCACUUGUGACAGUAAAUCUGUCGAGCCUCACCUUGACACUCAGGAAACAACCCUGAGUGCCACACGGCCGGACAGGACACAUGUAAAAUAAAAAAGAUAGCAAUUUCUUUUUAUUGCAGAGACAUUAGAUUCUUAAAUUUAUGGUAUUCUUUA